GAAAUUGACGGAAGGGCACCACCAGGCGUGGAGCCUGCGGCUUAAUUUGACUCAACACGGGGAAACUCACCAGGUCCAGACACAAGUAGGAUUGACAGAUUGAGAGCUCUUUCUUGAUUUUGUGGUUGGUUGGAUGAUCUGCGAUGCUGUUCGUGGAGUGAUUUGUCUGCUUAAUUGCGAUAACGAACGAGACCUUAGUCCGUUAAUUACCCGGGCCGCCUCUGUCGGCCUGUGGCUUCUUAAAUAUUACUCUGGCUUCUUCCAAAGACUAUGCGAUGCAAUAACAAGGAUGUUAGACGCAAUAACAGGUCUGUGAUGC
rnacentral:rRNA from 1 species